GUUCUUGUAGUUAAAAAUUUUAACUAGCUUGUUCAAGCCGCAGAUUUUGGAGAGAGGCCAAGCGAGAACU
rnacentral:tRNA from 1 species